GUUGAGUAUUUGGUCGUAGACCCGAAACCAGGUGAUCUACCCUUGGUCAGGUUGAAGUUCAGGUAACACUGAAUGGAGGACCGAACCGACUUACGUUGAAAAGUGAGCGGAUGAACUGAGGGUAGCGGAGAAAUUCCAAUCGAACUUGGAGAUAGCUGGUUCUCUCCGAAAUAGCUUUAGGGCUAGCCUCAAGUGAUGAUUAUUGGAGGUAGAGCACUGUUUGGACGAGGGGCCCCUCUCGGGUUACCGAAUUCAGACAAACUCCGAAUGCCAAUCAAUUUAACUUGGGAGUCAGAACAUGGGUGAUAAGGUCCGUGUUCGAAAGGGAAACAGCCCAGACCACCAGCUAAGGUCCCAAAAUAUAUGUUAAGUGGAAAAGGAUGUGGCGUUGCCCAGACAACUAGGAUGUUGGCUUAGAAGCAGCCAUCAUUUAAAGAGUGCGUAAUAGCUCACUAGUCGAGUGACACUGCGCCGAAAAUGUACCGGGGCUAAACAUAUUACCGAAGCUGUGGAUUGUCCGUAGGACAAUGGUAGGAGAGCGUUCUAAGGGCGUUGAAGCAUGAUCGCAAGGACAUGUGGAGCGCUUAGAAGUGAGAAUGCCGGUGUGAGUAGCGAAAGACGGGUGAGAAUCCCGUCCACCGAUUGACUAAGGUUUCCAGAGGAAGGCUCGUCCGCUCUGGGUUAGUCGGGUCCUAAGCUGAGGCCGACAGGCGUAGGCGAUGGAUAACAGGUUGAUAUUCCUGUACCACCUAGUAUCGUUUUAAUCGAUGGGGGGACGCAGUAGGAUAGGCGAAGCGUGCUGUUGGAGUGCACGUCCAAGCAGUAAGGCUGAGUGUUAGGCAAAUCCGGCACUCGUAAGGCUGAGCUGUGAUGGGGAGAGGAAAUUGUUUCCUCGAGUCGUUGAUUUCACACUGCCGAGAAAAGCCUCUAGAUAGAUAACAGGUGCCCGUACCGCAAACCGACACAGGUAGUCAAGAUGAGAAUUCUAAGGUGAGCGAGCGAACUCUCGUUAAGGAACUCGGCAAAAUGACCCCGUAACUUCGGGAGAAGGGGUGCUCUUUAGGGUUCACGCCCAGAAGAGCCGCAGUGAAUAGGCCCAAGCGACUGUUUAUCAAAAACACAGGUCUCUGCUAAACCGUAAGGUGAUGUAUAGGGGCUGACGCCUGCCCGGUGCUGGAAGGUUAAGAGGAGUGGUUAGCUUCUGCGAAGCUACGAAUCGAAGCCCCAGUAAACGGCGGCCGUAACUAUAACGGUCCUAAGGUAGCGAAAUUCCUUGUCGGGUAAGUUCCGACCCGCACGAAAGGCGUAACGAUUUGGGCACUGUCUCAACGAGAGACUCGGUGAAAUCAUAGUACCUGUGAAGAUGCAGGUUACCCGCGACAGGACGGAAAGACCCCGUGGAGCUUUACUGUAGCCUGAUAUUGAAAUUCGGCACAGCUUGUACAGGAUAGGUAGGAGCCAUUGAAACGUGAGCGCUAGCUUACGUGGAGGCGUUGGUGGGAUACUACCCUAGCUGUGUUGGCUUUCUAACCCGCACCACUUAUCGUGGUGGGAGACAGUGUCAGGCGGGCAGUUUGACUGGGGCGGUCGCCUCCUAAAAGGUAACGGAGGCGCUCAAAGGUUCCCUCAGAAUGGUUGGAAAUCAUUCACAGAGUGUAAAGGCAUAAGGGAGCUUGACUGCGAGACCUACAAGUCGAGCAGGGUCGAAAGACGGACUUAGUGAUCCGGUGGUUCCGCAUGGAAGGGCCAUCGCUCAACGGAUAAAAGCUACCCCGGGGAUAACAGGCUUAUCUCCCCCAAGAGUUCACAUCGACGGGGAGGUUUGGCACCUCGAUGUCGGCUCAUCGCAUCCUGGGGCUGUAGUCGGUCCCAAGGGUUGGGCUGUUCGCCCAUUAAAGCGGUACGCGAGCUGGGUUCAGAACGUCGUGAGACAGUUCGGUCCCUAUCCGUCGUGGGCGUAGGAAAUUUGAGAGGAGCUGUCCUUAGUACGAGAGGACCGGGAUGGACAUACCUCUGGUGUACCAGUUGUCGUGCCAACGGCAUAGCUGGGUAGCUAUGUAUGGACGGGAUAAGUGCUGAAAGCAUCUAAGCAUGAAGCCC
rnacentral:rRNA from 1 species